rnacentral:rRNA from 1 species
GACGAACGCUGGCGGCGUGCUUAACACAUGCAAGUCGAACGAAGUGGCGAACGGGUGAGUAACGCGUAAUCAACCUGCCCUUCAGAGGGGGACAACAGUGGGAAACGACUGCUAAUACCGCAUACUGAAGGAGGGGAUUGCGUCGGAUUAGCUGGUUGGAGGGGGAACGGCCCACCAAGGGUAUGAUCAGGAGCCGGGCGGAGAGGAGGAACGGCCACAUUGGGACCGGGACACGGCCCAGACUCCGACUGGAGGCAGCAGUGGGGAAUCUUCCGAAAUGGACGAAAGUCUGACGGAGCAACGCCGCGUGAGUGGUGACGGCCUUCGGGUUGUAAAGCUCUGUUAAUCGGGACGCGGUACCGGAAUAGAAAGCCACGGCUAACUACGUGCCAGCAGCCGCGGUAAUUC